rnacentral:rRNA from 1 species
UACGUAGGGCGCAAGCGUUGUCCGGAAUUACUGGGCGUAAAGCGUGCGCAGGCGGUUAUGUAAGACAGAUGUGAAAUGCCCGGGCUUAACCUGGGAACUGCAUUUGUGACUGCAUGGCUAGAGUGUGUCAGAGGGGGGUAGAAUUCCACGUGUAGCAGUGAAAUGCGUAGAUAUGUGGAGGAAUACCGAUGGCGAAGGCAGCCCCCUGGGAUAACACUGACGCUCAUGCACGAAAGCGUGGGGAGCAAACAGG